rnacentral:rRNA from 1 species
CCUACGGGUGGCAGCAGUGGGGAAUAUUGCACAAUGGGGGAAACCCUGAUGCAGCGACGCCGCGUGGGUGAAGAAGUAAUUCGUUAUGUAAAGCUCUAUCAGCAGGGAAGAAAAUGACGGUACCUGAGUAAGAAGCCCCGGCUAACUACGUGCCAGCAGCCGCGGUAAUACGUAGGGGGCAAGCGUUAUCCGGAUUUAAUGGGUGGAAAGGGAGCGUAGACGGCAGUGCAAGUCUGGAGUGAAAGGCGGGGGCUCAACCCCCGGACUGCUCUGGAAACUGUACGGCUGGAGUGCAGGAGAGGUAAGUGGAAUUCCUAGUGGAGCGGUGAAAUGCGUAGAUAUUAGGAGGAACACCAGUGGCGAAGGCGGCUUACUGGACUGUAACUGACGUUGAGGCUCGAAAGCGUGGGGAGCAAACAGGAUUAGAUACCCCUGGUAGUC